AGGAACGGUACAGAAGGACAAGCACGCCACGAAGCCCACAGCUCCGUCUGAAAAGUGACUGCCUUGACAUUUACCCAGGCUCAGCCACUCGUUUAGGGAAGAAGAGGUCUCAGACUGACACAGAACUCACUACUACUGUAAAUCUUGCUAGCUUGUCUGCCCUGAUCGCCCAUGUCUGCUUUUUGAACCUAGAAUUAUGUGCAGGCUGCCAUGUCUCCCUGUCAUUUAAUGAAUCUCUUAUUCACAAAGAAAGCCAAAUAUUCAUUACAUUUUCAGGAAAGAUAGGAAGGCAGAAGAGAGAGAAAGAGCCAAGUACAUCCCAGAGACCUAACCAGGCCCGAAAUGAAGGAUUCUUGGCUGGUAAAAGAACAAAAAAAAUGUCUUCAGAUGCCUCUGCCAGCCUCAGUCAAAGUUUGCAUCUCCUUCGCAGGAUGACAUCCUCUGCGAAGAGGCUGCUUGUGUAUGCAGAACGGAUGAGCCUCCUCUGCUGGUCCUGGGGACACAUUCAGAUGGUUCUGUUGAAAUCUAACUCCAACUACCUGCGACCCCUUGGCCAUCUUCCAAGAGUGUGGAUCCUUCCAAAACCUCAAUAUCAGCUCAAGUCUGACAUGAUUUCAAGCUCUCAACUUGUGUGUACAUGUGUACGUGUGUACGUGUGUACGUGUGUGUGUGUGUGUGUGUGUGUGUGUGUAAAUGCUAAAAGAAGGCUAUAAAGGAUAGACCCAUUCCUCAUAGUAAUUUGUGGAUCCAACCUUCUGUUUCCCUAGUAACAUUAGAAAGAAAAAUAGCACAAUUUCCCUUCCUCAGGAUUUAAAACAUCACAUUAAAAAAAAAAUAGAAGUAUCACCUUUGCUUUAUUGAAGCCCCUGAUGAAGAAGAACUUCCUCUUGGUCAAAAGAAUGAUAUUUGAGUUAUACUUGUGGCCCAAAUGGAGACACGACAUCCUGAUCUUUUCCAAAGAUUAGAAUAUUACAGAGUAUUGUUUGUCCCUUUAAGAGGAAACCAGUAUAUAAGGCUUGAGGAGAGAAAUUGAGCUAGAACUAACCAGGAAGCCUCUUGCCAAAGAUGAACUUUCAUUGUAUCUGAAGAUAUUAUACAAGAUGCCAAGGGAGAAAAGCAGUCAAUAGUUCUACCCCAGUGUAAAGGCUAUAGAUCACAUCAAUGAAUAGCAUGGGAAGACAACCCCAAGGGCACUUAGGUUUCGGGAAAACCAGUAGCCGUCCAAUUGGACUUAAGGCUCUCUUAGUAGGUAAGACUCAUUCUGGGGACUACAAACCUAGCCACCCACCUGUGCUGGGAAGGUCAUGGACCUUAUGGAGAAUCUGCUAUUGUCACUUUUCUAAGCCAGUGUCAUUUCCAAUGGAACUCUAAAUACGUAUCCUUAUUCUGAGUAAGACGCUCUUGCCUAUCAUCAAAGAAAAUUUGUUUUUUCAUCAGGUGGAGAGUAUUACAAAAAUCUACAGCAAGUCACACACAGAUAAUAGCUGACUCGGAAGUGCCUAACCCAAACUGAUACAUGUACAGUACAAUUCCUAUACCUCAGGCCCAGGGAACACCCCAGAAAAUGUGGCAGAAAUACUGGAACAACCAGAGACCAGGACAUCUGCUGUGAGAUGGUAUCUUCUAUAUAUUACAAAGAAGCUGUACCCAUGAAAUCUCAAAAAUAUGGUUGCCUGGGCAAGAUCUCCACAAAGAUAACACUAGUUGACAUUCCAGUGUUGAUAGGAGAAAUAUCAAAUAAUCAAAAUAUCAGUUCCCCUAAAGGAAAUAUGGACAAUUAAUGGCUGGUGAGAGAGGAAGAAUCAGGCCUCUCCUUGGGCAAGCCCCUAUGUUAUCCAGUCCCAAGCAGUCAUCCGUUAAGAAAUAUACACACAAGCAGCACUAAACAGAUCCAUAAAGCUGGAUUUAUAUAUACAUAUGUGUUUGUUUAUAUUUGUAACAAUAAUUAAAGAGGAGUUGGGGGACAUGGUAGGUGUUGGAGGAGAAGAAAGAAGUGUGCAAAUGACAUAAAUAUGCUACUCAUGUAUGCAAUUCUCAAUACAAAAUUCAAAGAGAAAAAUCAUCGUUAAUCUACCUGGAUCUGUCAAUUACUUGUCCUGAAGACUACACCUCAAGAAACGGAUUCAUUUGAAGGCAUUCUAGAGAUGGGAAGAGUAAUUGUGCUCUUAAUGACAUAGCACAGAAUUUGGAGUACAGUCUCGUCGAGAGCAUCCACCAUGCAGCCCUGCUAGCCCUAUCCAAGCCUAGUUCUUUGUUCUAACUGAAAAAAGCCUAACUUUUUUCUAUUUCUUCUUAUUUCUUUUUCUUGAGAUACUGCCUAAACCUCUAAUUAUGCUUUACUUCAGGGCUUUGGCACUUUUUUUUUUCUGAAGCGCCUGACCUUCUGCAUUGCAGCCUCGUGCUGCCCUGCUGAACAUUGCUAAUGUUGCCGAACAUGCUGAGCUCCCUAACGCAAAUGCAUGGCUUUCUUCCUUCCUUACCUCCGAGUCACUGAGAUUUACAGCCUGCCUGCACUGUUGCUUUUCUCUCAAACUCUAAUAAAAUUGCCCUCUAACUU
ensembl:antisense 9330175M20Rik RIKEN cDNA 9330175M20 gene